rnacentral:rRNA from 1 species
CAGAGUUUAUCCUGGCUCAGGAUGAACGCUAGCUACAGGCUUAACACAUGCAAGUCGAGGGGCAGCAUGGUCUUAGCUUGCUAAGGCCGAUGGCGACCGGCGCACGGGUGAGUAACACGUAUCCAACCUGCCGUCUACUCUUGGACAGCCUUCUGAAAGGAAGAUUAAUACAAGAUGGCAUCAUGAGUCCACAUGUUCACAUGAUUAAAGGUAUUCCGGUAGACGAUGGGGAUGCG